rnacentral:rRNA from 1 species
AUUGAACGCUGGCGGCAUGCCUUACACAUGCAAGUCGAACGGCAGCACGGGGCAACCUGGUGGCGAGUGGCGAACGGGUGAGUAAUGCAUCGGAACGUACCUUUCAGUGGGGGAUAACGUAGCGAAAGUUACGCUAAUACCGCAUAUUCUGUGAGCAGGAAAGCAGGGGAUCGCAAGACCUUGCGCUGAUUGAGCGGCCGAUGUCAGAUUAGCUAGUUGGUGAGGUAAAGGCUCACCAAGGCGACGAUCUGCAGCGGGUCUGAGAGGAUGAUCCGCCACACUGGAACUGAGACACGGUCCAGACUCCUACGGGAGGCAGCAGUGGGGAAUUUUGGACAAUGGGGGCAACCCUGAUCCAGCCAUGCCGCGUGAGUGAAGAAGGCCUUCGGGUUGUAAAGCUCUCUCGGCCGGGAAGAAAUCGCACGGGCUAAUACCCUGUGUGGAUGACGGUACCGGAAUAAGAAGCACCGGCUAACUACGUGCCAGCCGCCGCGGUAAUAC